rnacentral:lncRNA from 1 species
UCAUAUACAUCUAUACACCCAUCCUGUAUACUACUGGCUAUACACACCAUCUUAUAUUACGACUUUCUAUACUGUCUACACACACCAUCCUAUAUAACUACUGUCUAUACUGUCAACACACACCAUGCUAUAUAACUACUGGCGAUACUGUCUAUACACACCAUCCCGUAUAAUUGCU